ACGCUCGACACCUACGUGAGGCAGCAGUGGGGAAUAUUGCACAAUGGGGGAAACCCUGAUGCAGCAACGCCGCGUGAAGGAAGACGGUUUUCGGAUUGUAAACUUCUGUUCUUAGUGAAGAUAGUGACGGUAGCUAAGGAGCAAGCCACGGCUAACUACGUGCCAGAGUCGCGGUAAUCUGAGCGGGCUGGCAAGGC
rnacentral:rRNA from 1 species